GAUAUGCUUCAGUGGAGGAAGGAGUUUGGUGUUGACACAAUAGGUGAAGACUUUGAAUUCAAAGAGAAGAAUGAAGUUCUGAGGUACUAUCCUCAUGGUUAUCAUGGGGUGGAUAAAGAAGGAAGACCUGUUUACAUUGAAAGGUUGGGGAAAGUGGAUCCAAACAAACUCAUGCAAGUGACGACCAUGGAUCGAUAUAUAAAGUACCACGUUCAGGAGUUCGAGAAAAGUUUUGCUAUCAAGUUUCCAGCUUGUUCUAUUGCUGCAAAGAGGCACAUAGAUUCAAGCACCACAAUCUUGGAUGUCCAAGGCGUGGGCCUCAAGAAUUUCACGAAAUCUGCUAGGGAACUCAUCAUGCGGCUGCAGAAAGUUGAUGGUGACAAUUACCCAGAAACUCUCAGCCAAAUGUACAUUAUCAAUGCUGGUCCUGGAUUCCGGAUGCUGUGGAACACUGUGAAGUCUUUCCUUGACCCCCGAACAACAUCUAAAAUCCAUGUUCUCGGGAACAAGUACCAAAACAAAUUACUUGAAAUAAUUGAUUCCAGUGAGUUGCCAGAAUUUCUGGGCGGAAGUUGUACCUGUGCAGAUGUGGGGGGAUGCCUUCGUUCAGACAAGGGGCCAUGGAGAAACCCAGAAAUUUUGAAGAUGAUUCUUAAUGGUGAAGCACGACGUGCCAGACAGGUUGUAAAAGUUCUAAAUAGUGAAGGGAAGGUUGUUGCGUAUGCUAAGCCACAUUACCCAAUGGUGAAAGGCAGCGAUACAUCAACUGCUGAGUCAGGAUCUGA
rnacentral:misc_RNA from 1 species